GACGAACGCUGGCGGCGUGCUUAACACAUGCAAGUCGAACGGAAAGGCCCUGCUUUUGUGGGGUGCUCGAGUGGCGAACGGGUGAGUAACACGUGAGUAACCUGCCCUUGACUUUGGGAUAACUUCAGGAAACUGGGGCUAAUACCGGAUAGGAGCUCCUGCUGCAUGGUGGGGGUUGGAAAGUUUCGGCGGUUGGGGAUGGACUCGCGGCUUAUGAGCUUGUUGGUGGGGUAGUGGCUUACCAAGGCUUUGACGGGUAGCCGGCCUGAGAGGGUGACCGGCCACAUUGGGACUGAGAUACGGACCAGACUCCUACGGGAGGCAGCAGUGGGGAAUAUUGCACAAUGGGCGGAAGCCUGAUGCAGCAACGCCGCGUGCGGGAUGACGGCCUUCGGGUUGUAAACCGCUUUCGCCUGUGACGAAGCGUGAGUGACGGUAAUGGGUAAAGAAGCACCGGCUAACUACGUG
rnacentral:rRNA from 1 species